rnacentral:lncRNA from 1 species
GAACACCAGGUGAUGGUGCAGAUUGAGCUGUAGACUCACCUAGACAAAUACCCCCUUGGGGUUCACUUCCUACCCAAGAAGCUGGAUGAGGCAGUGGCUGAAGUCCACCUGCACAGGCUAAAUGUGAAGUUGACCAAGCUGACUGAGAAGCAGGCCCAGUACCUGGGCAUGUCCUGUGAUGGCCCCUUCAAACUGGAUGACUACCACUACUGAGAACCAGGCCUGCCCUUCACCUACCAGCUGCUGUCCUUGCCCUGGCCCUGCCUCCCCUAAGAGCAAAUGACACCAACUUUGUGAUUGUUUUCAGUGUCCCCCAUUGACUCCCUGGGGCUGGUCACUUAGGUUUUGGCCUCUACUGCAUCCCUCAUACUGUUGCAAGUGUGGCAGGGGGAAUUGAAAAGCCCCCCCCCCCUCAAGCUCUGGUCAUGAUGAAGGUACAAGGGAGACAUCCACAGGGAACCAUGAGCUCAGUGGUCUUGGAAUUGCUCACUAAGUCAGUCCUUCCUUAGCCUGGAAGUUGGUCAUGGAGUCACAAAGCCCAUGUACUUUACCAUCUAGGCCUUCACCUGGUCUGUGGACUUACACCCGUGUGCUUGGUUUACUGGUUCAGUAGUUCCUCAGACCAUGACAAAUGGAAGGAGCUAUACUGAAGAACAAUGAGGAACUCUUUGAAUUUUCCUGAGCACGUGACUUACUGCUGGGCCUUCCCUUAAACAUCAGAACAAUGAGAUUUGUCCCUAUUUUACAGGGGUUAGAAUAGACUAUUAAGGGACAACUGAGAAAGGACAGAGAAGUGACAGCCAGAGGUUGAGAGGGGCCAUAAAAACAUACAAUCAGACAUAUAUCUGCUACCACUUUGUAGCAAGAUGGUUCCUAUCAUAACUCUGGGUCAAAAAGAUAGUAAUUUGGUUUAUAAUGUUGAAAGAAAGCAGAAAGAGAUGGGGUCUCACUGUCGUUCUGGAGUGUAGUGGUUCAAUCAUCUCUCACUGCAGCCUUGAACCCCUAGGCUCAAAGGAUCCUCCCACCUCAGCCUCCUGAAUAGCUGGGACUAGAGGCAUGAGCCACUAUGUCUUGCUGAUUAAAAAUUGUUUUUGCAAA